rnacentral:rRNA from 1 species
GAUGAACGCUGGCGGCGUGCCUAAUACAUGCAAGUCGAGCGAACAGACGAGGAGCUUGCUCCUCUGACGUUAGCGGCGGACGGGUGAGUAACACGUGGAUAACCUACCUCUAUGACUGGGAUAACUUCGGGAAACCGGAGCUAAUACCGGAUAAUAUAUUGAACCGCAUGGUUCAAUAGUGAAAGACGGUUUUGCUGUCACUUAUAGAUGGAUCCGCGCCGCAUUAGCUAGUUGGUAAGGUAACGGCUUACCAAGGCAACGAUGCGUAGCCGACCUGAGAGGGUGAUCAGCCACACUGGAACUGAGACACGGUCCAGACUCCUACGGGAGGCAGCAGUGGGGAAUAUUGCGCAAUGGGCGCAAGCCUGACCGAGCCACGCCGCGUGGGUGAAGAAGGCCUUCGGGUUGUAAAACCCUUUUGUUGGGGAAGAAAAAAAGGGGGAUGAAACACCGCCGUUCUGACGGUACCCAAAGAAAAAGCCCCGGCUAACUUCGUG